rnacentral:rRNA from 1 species
CUUGGUCAUUUAGAGGAAGUAAAAGUCGUAACAAGGUUUCCGUAGGUGAACCUGCGGAAGGAUCAUUAAUAACGCCCCGUUUUUGUCGCAAGAUUUAAAUGGGUUCAAUACCCAAAACCGUGUCUACCUACCUUUGUUGCUUUGGCAGGCCGCCUUCGGGCGUCGGCUUCGGCUGAUUAGCGCCUGCCAGAGGCCCAAAACUCUGUGUUUAGUGAUGUCUGAGUACUAUAAAAUAUUUAAAACUUUCAACAACGGAUCUCUUGGUUCUGGCAUCGAUGAAGAACGCAGCGAAAUGCGAUAAGUAAUGUGAAUUGCAGAAUUCAGUGAAUCAUCGAAUCUUUGAACGCACAUUGCGCCCCUUGGUAUUCCGAGGGGCAUGCCUGUUCGAGCGUCAUUAUAACCACUCAAGCCUAGCUUGGUAUUGGGGUUCGCGUGCUCGCGGCCCUUAAAAUCAGUGGCGGUGCCGUCUGGCUCUAAGCGUAGUAAUUCUCUCGCUAUAGAGUCCCGGCGGUUACCUGCCAGAACCCCCCACUUUUAAGGUUGACCU